GAUGAACGCUGGCGGCGUGCCUAAUACAUGCAAGUCGAGCGAACAGAUGAGGAGCUUGCUCCUCUGACGUUAGCGGCGGACGGGUGAGUAACACGUGGAUAACCUACCUAUAAGACUGGGAUAACUUCGGGAAACCGGAGCUAAUACCGGAUAAUAUAUUGAACCGCAUGGUUCAAUAGUUAAAGACGGUUUUGCUGUCACUUAUAGAUGGAUCCGCGCCGCAUUAGCUAGUUGGUAAGGUAACGGCUUACCAGGGCAACGAUGCGUAGCCGACCUGAGAGGGUGAUCGGCCACACUGGAACUGAGACACGGUCCAGACUCCUACGGGAGGCAGCAGUAGGGAAUCUUCCGCAAUGGGCGAAAGCCUGACGGAGCAACGCCGCGUGAGUGAUGAAGGUCUUCGGAUCGUAAAACUCUGUUAUUAGGGAAGAACAAAUGUGUAAGUAACUAUGCACGUCUUGACGGUACCUAAUCAGAAAGCCACGGCUAACUACGUG
rnacentral:rRNA from 1 species